rnacentral:rRNA from 1 species
GAUGAACGCUGGCGGCGUGCUUAACACAUGCAAGUCGAACGGAAAGGCUCCUGCUUGCAGGGGUACUCGAGUGGCGAACGGGUGAGUAACACGUGGGUGAUCUGCCCUGCACUUCGGGAUAAGCCUGGGAAACUGGGUCUAAUACCGGAUAGGACGAUGGUUUGGAUGCCAUUGUGGAAAGUUUUUCGGUGUGGGAUGAGCUCGCGGCCUAUCAGCUUGUUGGUGGGGUAAUGGCCUACCAAGGCGUCGACGGGUAGUCGGCCUGAGAGGGUGUACGGCCACAUUGGGACUGAGAUACGGCCCAGACUCCUACGGGAGGCAGCAGUGGGGAAUAUUGCACAAUGGGCGCAAGCCUGAUGCAGCGACGCCGCGUGGGGGAUGACGGCCUUCGGGUUGUAAACUCCUUUCGCUAGGGACGAAGCGCAAGUGACGGUACCUGGAGAAGAAGCACCGGCUAACUACGUG